AGAAUCAACGCUGGCGGCGUGCCUAACACAUGCAAGUCGCACGAGAAAGUGGAGCAAUCCAUGAGUAAAGUGGCGCACGGGUGAGUAACACGUGAAUGAUCUACCUCCGAGUGGGGAAUAACUGAGAGAAAUCUUAGCUAAUACCGCAUAAUACCCACGGGUCAAAGCAGCAAUGCGCUUGGAGAGGAGUUCGCGGCCGAUUAGUUAGUUGGCGGGGUAAUGGCCCACCAAGACGAUGAUCGGUA
rnacentral:rRNA from 1 species